rnacentral:tRNA from 1 species
AUUAUUUUGGCAGAAUAGUGCAAUAAAGUUAGAUUUUAUUAAAAUAAUUUAAUUUAUAAAUAAUA